rfam:Aspergillus zonatus CBS 506.65 unplaced genomic scaffold ASPZOscaffold_13, whole genome shotgun sequence.
GCACCAAUGGUUUAGUGGUUAUGAUUCGAUCCUCCCAUUGUGAAGGAUAGAUCGAGACUCGGGUUCGAAUCCCGAUUGGUGCA